rnacentral:lncRNA from 1 species
UGUAACAUCAACAGGGAAUAGAUGAUAGAGAUGACUGGAGGUUAAUUGAAGCUCUUUCAAUGAAGGAUGCCUGCAGAUACACAGAGCCAGAAGCUCUGCUGAUUAACCUAAGUUCCACUCCAAAAACUUCGAACAUUGUAACUGUUCAUCCUCAAAUUGCGGAGCCAUCUGCGGAGCAACUAUGCGUGCAAGUAUUUAAUUUAUUAAAUUGACCUUGCCCUUAAAUAAAAUUGAUUUUUUUUAUUUAAUAUUGUGGAUAGCAUCCGACUCUUGGUUAGAUUAUUUAUCAGCAUUUCAAUAAAAUAGAUUUGUCUAUAUACAAGAUUGUCCUGAUUGAGAAGCAAAUUAUUUAAAAAAUGCAGAACUUACACAUAGUAUAAUUAAAUCUGUGGUUUAUUAUAUGAUUAAUUACUCAAUUAAGUUGCCAACUAAAAGGUAAGAUUGUUAUAUUUAUUAUACAUUUAUAUUAGUCCGGGGUGGAUAAUUAUCAAGUUAAUCUCACAUACCAUCUAACUUCUAAAUAUUAAUUAUACAUCCUACACACAAAAAUAAAAUAAAAAUAUUUUAAAAUAUGAAUAAUACCUUCAAUUUUUGAGUAGCUGGAUCGUCAAAGUGGUACACAUGAUUCAUGAACUCCAUAUUAGAAAUAUGCCCUUGUUUUUCUUCCUCGAGUUCCUAUAUGGUAAAGUUGGACAUGUUACAUGAUACUAAAUACAAACAGUUUUUUGAGUUAAAGCUGCAAGUAAACUCAUAGUAAAUGAAAUGAAUAAGAGGCACACACAAUAGAUAAUAUACCUCCCUUCUCUGGCUGAAAGCUGAAAGGCUUGGCCCCACUGUGGUGAAUAUGUUCCACCUGCGCUCGAGCUUUCUUGGCAUUAUCAGACCUUUUUUUAAAUAAGUCAGACCCCAUAUACGAGUUGAGGUUGUCCCAAAUACGUUGGCUGAAGUAAUGAGGCCUGAAAGAACGUCGAGUAGCAGUUUUUAAACCUCCCCUCCUUGCAUAUACAGCUGAUUGCUCUGCCCUUUUCUUUUCCUGAUAAGGGAGGUUCUUCUAAUUCUUUUUCACAAACUCUUUGACAGCCCUAUCCGCCUCUGUUGGAUCACUAUCCUCCGGAUAUGCAUAGUAUUUUUGUCAAACAAGAAUAAAAGAUUACAUAUACAUCUCAGCGAAUUAAUCUGAAAAAAAAAUGAAAGAGAAAGUAGAUAAAACCUUGAACUCCUUAAGACAGCGGUCAUAAAAGGCUUCACGUUCCAGUCCCUUUGAUUGAUGCGUAUUUUCAUCCCAAUUCACUUUGAUAAUGUAGCUGAGAGUCUUUUUCUUCUUAGCCUCCCUGAUGCUAUAUAAUUAAAAUACAAUUAGAAUGCGUGUAGUGUUGACAUGUGUUAGAUUAAACGAGAAAAUGAGUAAGAACUGAGAAUAAAACAUACCUUCUUCCUCCGAGGAAAUGAACAAUUCCCCUAUCUUCAGACCUAGCUGGUUACUCCAUUGUUUCCCCAGCUCCACGACCCCGUCCUUCACCAAUACCAUUUCCCCGUCCACCACAUCCACGACCCCUUCCUUCCGCACUAUCAUUUCCCCGUCCACCUCUUCCCCUACCCGCUUUACUUCCCCUCCCCCCUCCAUCACCACCAUUGGAACCAGCUCCCUGAAUAUAAUAAGAGAUACACAUUAUAUCAGAACCAACAAUUUGUGUAACAAAUCAGCAAGAAUAAAUUCAAAUCUACAUUUAACAUUCUCUUUUACUACUAAUUUGUGUAACAAAUCAGCAUCUUAAUAG